UACGUAGGGUCCAAGCGUUAAUCGGAAUUACUGGGCGUAAAGCGUGUGCAGGCGGUCUCGCAAGUCCGAUGUGAAAUCCCCGGGCUUAACCUGGGAACUGCGUUGGAAACUACGAGGCUCGAGUGCGGCAGAGGGGGGUGGAAUUCCAGGUGUAGCAGUGAAAUGCGUAGAGAUCUGGAGGAACACCGAUGGCGAAGGCAGCCCCCUGGGCCAGCACUGACGCUCAUACACGAAAGCGUGGGGAGCAAACAGGAUUAGAUACCCUGGUAGUCCACGCCCUAAACGAUGGCAACUAGUUGUUGGAGGAUGAACUCCUUUAGUAACGCAGCUAACGCGUGAAGUUGCCCGCCUGGGGAGUACGGUCGCAAGAUUAAAACUCAAAG
rnacentral:rRNA from 1 species